UUACGGCCACACCACAUCGAGAUACCGAUUUACGUACGAUCAACGAAGUUAAGCAACGUCGAGCCUUGUCAGUACUUAGAUGGGUGAGCACUUGGGAAUACCACCAGAUGCC